rnacentral:rRNA from 1 species
CACGUAGGGGGCAAGCGUUGUCCGGAUUUAUUGGGCGUAAAGAGCUCGUAGGCGGUUCGCUAAGUCGGGUGUGAAACCUCCAGGCUCAACCUGGAGACGCCACCUGAUACUGGUGUGACUCGAGUCCGGUAGGGGAGCGUGGAAUUCCUGGUGUAGCGGUGGAAUGCGCAGAUAUCAGGAGGAACACCGAUGGCGAAGGCAGCUCGCUGGGACGGUACUGACGCUGAGGCGCGAAAGCGUGGGGAGCGAACAGG